rnacentral:lncRNA from 10 species
UUUUAAUACAGCAUGAAGAGGCUAUAUUUCUAUAGGCGAGCCGUAUACAGAUUCUCCAGGAAUAAGGCACACAACGGAAUGCCAUCCCAAGGGCUGCACUUCGGAGACGUCGGAGCCUUCUCCACGCACCUUCCGAGCUGGGCCCACGGGUUCUGUUUUGUCUUUUUAGCUGGACUCACACGUAUGGACAGACACAGACACGGACGGGGUCACCGCAUGGGGGCGGAGGAGGUCGGACGGCAAGGUUGGCAACAGAGAAGGAUAAGCCCGCUGCCACAGCCCCCAGGGGACCGCUUGGCCAUCUCGCUGAAGGCUGGAACACCCCCAUUUCAGGAGGCAUAAUGUAGGGGCAAAAUCAAGAGACCCAGUUCUGACAGCCGGGAGAAAGGAAGGGUCAAGACCAUGGAAACGGGGCUUCUCAUCCGGGAGACAGAGGAGCGCACGAUCCCGCCGCCAGCCAGGACAGUGGGCUCCCUGGCCACGGACGUGCCACGAGGCCUCUCUGCUCCCUUGGGAGGUAGGAAAUUAUUGUCUCCAUUUUAGAAAAGAGGGGUUCUGUGGCUUGUCUCAGGGUUCUCCAUGUCAGGGGCUAGGAGACCGAGGUGAGAAGGAGGGGGCUCCUCCAUGUUUGCAGGGGUGGGGGAUGAAAAGCAGGGCUGGGGCUGCAGGGGCCAGCAGGGGAGGACUCAGCAUCCCUCAGCUUGACUUCCUAAGACACCAAGUGAAGGGUCACGAUGCGGGGUACCUGGCACCUGGGAGGUUUCUCCCACCAUUCUGGGUGAAACUCCCCAAAUAAAGCUCCAGGACACAGCACCGGCCAGCCUGAAUCCCAGAACAACAGAGCUGAAAUGGGCCCUCUGCUCUCUAGUGUUAUGCUGUCAUUUAACUAAUGGGGAAACUGAGGCCUGGAGAUGCGAAGUCCUUGCCCAAGGUGACACAAUGCGUCGGCAGCAGGGCAAAGACUUGAGCCGAGGUCUCCAGAACACCAGGCUUGUGUCCUUUCUGCUGGAACAGACACGCUGGGCUUCCACACUGGGCCCAGCUAUCUUGAUGUGGACCCCCAGAGUGGGUGGGAGGCAGAGGGGAAGGAAAGGGAGUGGGGCUGACAAAACCUAAGGCAGUCUGGUGGGGGUCGUGGGAGGGGCUGCCCCACGUUCACCAGGACGCAUCUCUCCAGCAUUCUGUGCCUCCCCCAUGCCUAACCCCUCCUAUCUGGGUCCAUAGCGUGGGGAGGGGGGCACACCCAGGUGCAAUGCCAGUGAUGUCAGAGGGGGUCUGGAUUUGGGGCUUAAGGUGGGCAAGGGACAGAGAGGUCCACUCCCCAGCCGCUGUUGGAACACAUGUCCCCUUGCCACGAUUGCUGACUCAGGAAAGAGGGAUUUCUGAGAGUGGCUUUCCAUACAGGGCAAACCGGAAGGUUCUGGGUGGGGGCAGGCGGCCUGGCUGGUCUGGGGAGGUUUGGGAUUCACAGUCAAUUUAGUGCACCUGUGGCCAAUACAAGGCUGCUCACCCCAAAGAGGCUCUCAGAGGCGAG